rnacentral:misc_RNA from 1 species
UAGUCAAAGGCGUUGUGCAUAUGAAAAUACAACGCGCCUUGACGUCACGUAAACAGGGCCUUGUAAUACUCCCAUCAUUCAUUCAAAAUGGCCACCUAUUCGAGACUAGGCUUAAUUCUGGCCAUGUUUAGUUUCGCGUUUGCACCUCAGGUGUUAGGAAGUCACCCACUUCCAGGUAAAGUCAACGAUGCGAAGACGACGUCCGUGACAUCGUCGACCAUUGGUCUAUCGUGGACGGUAUCAUCAAGUAACAUCCCCUUCACAAACUACGUCGUCUUUAUAAUGACGGGGGGCAAGUGUACACAAGCCAACUUUAUCAAGUGCUCUCCAAAUCAAACAAUUUAUGUAAACUUUCAAUGCUCCUACAUAAUGGCGGGUGCAGUAGCUUCAUAUGAUGAGUGUCAUGGAAACAUGUCUCACAGCGUCAAGUCACUGACGUCGUACACAGACUACGUUAUCGCUAUCGCCGCUGCUGAUCAAGCCACUAUAGGGGAAAAUGUCACACUCACCCGCGAAGACAGAUAUUGGAGUUCCAGCACCACCAACCAACAUUCGGUUUACUGCUGUGAAUCAGUCAGCCAUCUUUGUUAAAUGGGAUAUUCCUUCACACAAUGCUGGACCUACGGCGUACAAAGUUACAGUUCUUCAGGCCAUGAACAAGACGUCCAGUACCUUCAUUGCCUAUCGUGAAUAUUUAGUUGAAGGUUGGACAAGCAAUGAACUCCCAGUGACAGGGUUGUUGAGCUCCUGGAGGUACAUGGUCACCAUGACAGCUGGUACCAUCGCUGGAAACUCAAAACUGGCAAAUCCAAACCUGUCACAACGCUGCCAAGCACCCCUAGUGCCGUGCAGA